CCUGAGACUAGAAUCAUGUCCUGACACAGCUCUUGUCCUGGUGUGCUAGAGCCCUUGGAGAGAAUGUGCUGGUUUUGAUCCACUAGCAAAGACCAUAGGUGCUCCCAGUGGUGUCCAGAUCAGAAACAAUC